rnacentral:rRNA from 1 species
AUGUCAUUUGAUUUUGUGUUCAUUUUACAUCUAAUGGAGAAAAUCAUGAAAAUCACUGAUGUUUUAUGUCAAACACUCCAAAAGAAGUCACUAGAUAUUCUGAAUGCAUUAGAUUUGGUCUCUACCACAAAGGUGCUACUUGGUAAGCUGAGAGAAGAUGGUUGGGAUCCCCUUCUUCAGGAGGUUCAAUCUUUUUGUUUGAAGCAUGAGAUUGACAUCCCUGAUCUGAAUAGCAGGUAUGUAGAUGUAACAAACUCUCGCAACAAACAUGAUAACACUACUACAUUACAUCACUACAAAGCAGAUGUGUUCAAUGUUGCCAUAGAUCAGCAAUUGGUUGAGCUAAAUGAUCGUUUUGGUGUUCAAAACACAGAGCUUUUGACACUUUGUGCAUCUUUGGAUCCACGACAUGACUCAUUUGACGUGUCUAAUAUAUGCACAUUAGUGGAAAUUUUCUAUCCUGCUGACUUUUCUAGUCAAGAACGAGCUCAUUUGGAGUCUCAACUUCCCCAUUUCGAGCUUGAUGUUUGCAACCAUCCGGAGCUAAAGAGGUUGGUCAUAACUCUUCCGGUGUCAACCGCGACAACCGAGCGAGUUUUUUCAGCUAUGAAACUCGUCAAGACACGUCUUCGAAACAGAAUGGGAGAUGACUUUCUUCGGCAUUACAUGGUCGUCUAUAUUGGGAAGGAAAUAGCUACAAAGAUCACAUCUCAUGAGAUAAUCAAUUUGUUUGACACUGGUGGUCGUAGAGCUGAGUUUAAGCUAAUAGAUAUGUAA